AAGAACAUUACUUGUACUUAAUACUGAGAUACAUGCAUUAUAUUUGUACUUUUUAUAAGUAUUUAUUAUUAAUUGGCGUGUUGUAUAUACAUGUGCCAAGUAUGUACCUGAAUUAUUAUCGAAAAUAUAAAGAAGAAUAAGAAAAGAUUUAAGAAUAUGGACAAAAGCAUCCUUAUAUACGGUCACUUGAUUUAUUAUUUUUUAAAAGGAAAAGGCCAUGAGCCACUUUUAUAUAUUUGCAUUGUUAAACCAAUCUAACAAAUUGAUGGGCUGGGUUGAAAAGAUUAGGUUUCAAAUAACAAAUAGCAGUGUAUCACUUGUACAGACAUAAAAAUUUGAUCUUUGUUGUUUUCGCUACCUCAUAUCUCUAAAAAUCCAUUUUGGAAACCUUUGAUAUCAUUGCAUCUUAGAUCGUCACCAACGCCAAGCUUCAACUGCGGCAUCAUUCUUCUCCUUCAGCAGUGAGUAUAUUUUUUUCUCUUCACCAUAGCUUUCGUAGCUCUAAUCUUGUCUUUAUGUUCUUCUAUUGUGUUUUUCAGUGUAUAAAGAUCUUGGACAGACUCAAUGAUAGGAAAAAAGAUUUUGAUACACCAGAUGUACGUUGCCAUUGUUAUUCUCUGGCAUUCUUUUUUCUUGUUGUUGUGUUUUACUGUUGUCGUUCAAUCUUAGUUAUAUUUUGGGAUUUUUCGAUUUAUGAGUUGUAAAGUCACUUGGUGAAUUUGGUUUUGAUUUUUAGAUUAGAAUAAUGACACUUUUCCAAGUUAACUGUUUUCUCUUCAAGUUGUUAGCUCUAUUCAACUGUUGAUUUCUAAUUCGUUUGUUCUUUCAAUGUCAAAAUAGCUAGAUAGUUUGUCAAAUGAUUCCCUUUUUGUGCAGGGUGCGGAUAUAGACUGAUAACUAAUUUAUGAAAUAGAUUUAGUAUAUAUAUAAUGAAUCUAUUUUUCUUUGUGCGUGGAUAUUUCUUAAGUUUUGUUUUAAUAUUUUUUAAUGAUUUGUUCUUUUCGUAAGAUGUAUUCAUUAAUUUGGUUGGUUUAUUAUUUUAUUCUGUAGUAAUUGCAGAGUUACAAAUUUCUGUAUAAUAAUUUAUCCUAACUGUACUGUAAUAUAUAUCUAAUUCUAGAUUUUCUAUGUUAUUUAUUAUCUUGCGUUGUUCUUCUCGUAGUGAGUUUUUUAAAUUAUAUAAACUAUCACAUGUACUUUUUUCUAAAUUUUCUAAGGUUUCUUCUAUCCAUAUUAACUUUUCUUUUAGAUUUUCCAUUAUUUUUCUAAUUCGGUUUCUAUAAUUAAUUUCUUUAUUUAGAUUAU
rnacentral:lncRNA from 1 species